AGAGUUUGAUCCUGGCUCAGGACGAACGCUGGCGGCGCGCCUAACACAUGCAAGUCGAACGAGCGAGAGAGAGCUUGCUUUCUCGAGCGAGUGGCGAACGGGUGAGUAACGCGUGAGGAACCUGCCUCAAAGAGGGGGACAACAGUUGGAAACGACUGCUAAUACCGCAUAAGCCCACGACCCGGCAUCGGGUAGAGGGAAAAGGAGCAAUCCGCUUUGAGAUGGCCUCGCGUCCGAUUAGCUAGUUGGUGAGGUAACGGCCCACCAAGGCGACGAUCGGUAGCCGGACUGAGAGGUUGAACGGCCACAUUGGGACUGAGACACGGCCCAGACUCCUACGGGAGGCAGCAGUGGGGAAUAUUGCACAAUGGGGGAAACCCUGAUGCAGCGACGCCGCGUGGAGGAAGAAGGUCUUCGGAUUGUAAACUCCUGUUGUUGAGGAAGAUAAUGACGGUACUCAACAAGGAAGUGACGGCUAACUACGUGCCAGCAGCCGCGGUAAAACGUAGGUCACAAGCGUUGUCCGGAAUUACUGGGUGUAAAGGGAGCGCAGGCGGGAAGACAAGUUGGAAGUGAAAUCCAUGGGCUCAACCCAUGAACUGCUUUCAAAACUGUUUUUCUUGAGUAGUGCAGAGGUAGGCGGAAUUCCCGGUGUAGCGGUGGAAUGCGUAGAUAUCGGGAGGAACACCAGUGGCGAAGGCGGCCUACUGGGCACCAACUGACGCUGAGGCUCGAAAGUGUGGGUAGCAAACAGGAUUAGAUACCCUGGUAGUCCACACUGUAAACGAUGAUUACUAGGUGUUGGAGGAUUGACCCCUUCAGUGCCGCAGUUAACACAAUAAGUAAUCCACCUGGGGAGUACGACCGCAAGGUUGAAACUCAAAGGAAUUGACGGGGGCC
rnacentral:rRNA from 1 species